AGACGUCUACAUUAGAUACCCCUGUAGUCCCAGCCGUAAACUAUGCGCGUUAGGUGUAUCGGUGACCACGAGUUACCGAGGUGCCGAAGGGAAACCGUGAAACGUGCCGCCUGGGAAGUACGGUCGCAAGGCUGAAACUUAAAGGAAUUGGCGGGGAGCACCACAACGGGUGGAGCCUGCGGUUUAAUUGGACUCAACGCCGGGAAGCUCACCGGAUAAGACAGCGGAAUGAUUGCCGGGCUGAAGACUCUGCAUGACUAGCUG
rnacentral:rRNA from 1 species